rnacentral:rRNA from 1 species
GUAGGGAAUCUUCGGCAAUGGACGAAAGUCUGACCGAGCAACGCCGCGUGAGUGAAGAAGGUUUUCGGAUCGUAAAACUCUGUUGGUAGAGAAGAACGUUGGUGAGAGUGGAAAGCUCAUCAAGUGACGGUAACUACCCAGAAAGGGACGGCUAACUACGUGCCAGCAGCCGCGGUAAUACGUAGGUCCCGAGCGUUGUCCGGAUUUAUUGGGCGUAAAGCGAGCGCAGGUGGUUUAUUAAGUCUGGUGUAAAAGGCAGUGGCUCAACCAUUGUAUGCAUUGGAAACUGGUAGACUUGAGUGCAGGAGAGGAGAGUGGAAUUCCAUGUGUAGCGGUGAAAUGCGUAGAUAUAUGGAGGAACACCGGUGGCGAAAGCGGCUCUCUGGCCUGUAACUGACACUGAGGCUCGAAAGCGUGGGGAGCAAACAGGAUUAGAAACCCUGGUAGUCC